rnacentral:tRNA from 1 species
GGGCCGGUAGUUCAGCGGUAGAAUCGAAAGAUAUACUAUCAUCACGUACGGUCGGGGGUUCAAUUCCCCUCCGGUCC